AAAACGACUCUCGGCAACGGAUAUCUCGGCUCUCGCAUCGAUGAAGAACGUAGCGAAAUGCGAUACUUGGUGUGAAUUGCAGAAUCCCGUGAACCAUCGAGUCUUUGAACGCAAGUUGCGCCCCAAACCUUCGGGUYGAGGGCMMGUUUGCCUGGGUGUCCCGC
rnacentral:rRNA from 1 species